rnacentral:rRNA from 1 species
UACGUAGGGACCAAGCGUUGUUCGGAUUUACUGGGCGUAAAGGGCGCGUAGGCGGCGUGGUAAGUCACUUGUGAAAUCUCUGAGCUUAACUCAGAACGGUCAAGUGAUACUGCUGUGCUAGAGUGCGGAAGGGGCAAUCGGAAUUCUUGGUGUAGCGGUGAAAUGCGUAGAUAUCAAGAGGAACACCUGAGGUGAAGACGGGUUGCUGGGCCGACACUGACGUGAUGCGCGAAAGCCAGGGGAGCAAACGGG